rnacentral:lncRNA from 1 species
GAAGUCUUUCAAGGAAGGGUUAAAGAGUCACGUGCCAAUUAGCUUUUCUCCCAAGGCAGCACUUAGAAUCACAGUGCUGAGAAGAAGUGGGAUAAUGAGAGGGUUGCUGGUUGUGAUAUCGCCUCCCUGGGACACUUCAGGAACGGUGACGAGACUAAUUGGCUGGUCUGGCGAACAACUCGAGAUGAGUCCAAAAGGAGGAGCCAGCUGCCGGCAGGAAGGGAAUGGAAAUUCACCUUCGCGCUGGCCCUUCAGCGGGGGGAGCACAGAUGGUGAAAAGCAGAACUGCUCGCGAGAGAGCAAAGGCCCUUUUUCUAAAUCAGCUGCCAAGAGGGGAACAAAGAGGAUUUGCCAGUGCCUCUGGGGAACAGCCUUUGCUCUCGCUUCAAGAUCAUCUAAGGAGUUUGCCCACAUCGCAAACGUGGAAGAAACAGAUACUGAGAAAUUCAGCUGCUUGCCCCAGAACCUACCGCUAAUAAGUGGGAGAGUCAGAUCUUGAACCAGCGAGUCUGGCUCUAGAACUCUUUACAGACACGUUCCCUGUCCUCGACCAUCUUACAGUUUCUUCUUCAUAAGAGUUCCGUGAUUCCUCUCAGAAAUAAAGAAGCGGUAUUUGAGGAGAGAUGGAGAAAUUCUGGGAACCCAAGCCCUCUUGGACGAAGCAGUAACCUCAGCUUCCGUGAUAUGUACCCUGAUUCUAAUCGUCCUCUGGACCAACAUCGACUCCACCUCUUCAGUCUCUCAUCCCCUUGGUGUCCUCUCUUUGCCCAGCUCGCAAAAUCACCCCCAGGCAGCCACACCUACCAAAAAAGGUAGAGAAUAUCUAUCAGAGAUACUGAUGACACCUUGAAGGAUUUUAAGCAGGGUAGUGA